rnacentral:rRNA from 1 species
AGCGAACGCUGGCGGCGUGCCUAACACAUGCAAGUCGAACGUGAAAAGGGAAACCUGAGUAAAGUGGCGUACGGGUGAGUAACGCGUAGGUAAUCUACCCCAGAAUCUGGAAUAACCUGCCGAAAGGCGGGCUAAUACUGGAUAGAGCGAGGGAACUCGUAAGAGAGUUUUACGGGAAAGGGAGCCCGCAAGGGCCUUCGUUCUGGGAUGAGCCUGCGUCUCAUUAGCUAGUUGGUAAGGUAACGGCUUACCAAGGCGAUGAUGAGUAGCUGGUCUGAGAGGAUGAUCAGCCACACUGGAACUGAAACACGGUCCAGACUCCUACGGGAGGCAGCAGUGGGGAAUCUUGCGCAAUGGACGAAAGUCUGACGCAGCCACGCCGCGUGAGUGAAGAAGGCCUUCGGGUUGUAAAGCUCUGUCGGAUGGGACGAACAUCUUCAUAGUGAAUAGCUAUGAGGACUGACGGUACCAUCAAAGGAAGCACCGGCUAACUCCGUG